UGUCAAUUAGGCCCAAACUCAACUAUGUCCUAAGUCCAAACCCAAAUAAGAAGUAGUAAAAAGCAAAUUUAUCUAGAAAUUGGGAACAUUUUUAAAGGUAAAAAAACAGAUUUGGGUUCUCUCUAAAAUCGCUCUAAAUUCCAUCAAACUUUAAAUUUCACCACAUUUUCAUGAUAAAAUUUCAAUGACAAAUGCUUGUCUCACAGAAUGUGAAUUGGUAUCCAUUAUCAGCAGCUCCUACUGCUGGGGUACCGACAUUCUAAGCAUAUAAUACCAAUUCUUCCUUCAUAUCAUAGCCCAACAUGUCCACCACUUGUACCCUAAUCUCAAUCUUUCUCUCUGUCUCUUCCCUUCACGUCGGCAACAACAAGUCGAUGCCACCACCUCCCAAAGCAUUAAUUUGUCAAAUAAUUCCUCCCCAAAAUUCAUUUUUAUUCCAAUACAAUUUUUCUUUUAAGUCUGCAGUGAUAUAUACAAAAACGGAUUCAGAAUUUAUGACUAAUAAAAGACAAUUUUCCUUUAUUUAGAGAAAGAAAGAUUCCAACAUUAAAAAAACAAGACUUAAUAAGCAUUAAAACUUAAGAAAGCUACCUUUGUCUAAGCAUCGAAAUCUCUCUCAUUGUGGUUAGCACUUCUUGCUUCCUUUUCUUUUCUCUUGUGUUGUUGGGUACCACUCUUCCACUCUGCCCUUGGCCUUACUUAUAUAUAACA
rnacentral:lncRNA from 1 species